rnacentral:rRNA from 1 species
UACGAAGGGGGCUAGCGUUGCUCGGAAUCACUGGGCGUAAAGGGUGCGUAGGCGGGUCUUUAAGUCAGGGGUGAAAUCCUGGAGCUCAACUCCAGAACUGCCUUUGAUACUGCGGUGCUUGAGGACUGGAGAGGAGACUGGAAUUUACGGUGUAGCAGUGAAAUGCGUAGAGAUCGUAAGGAAGACCAGUGGCGAAGGCGGGUCUCGUGGACAGUUCCUGACACUGAGGCACGAAGGCCAGGGGAGCAAACGGG